UCUAUAAGAAACCACAUUCCAUUGGUACGUGGUUUCUUAUAGGUUGAAAUUUGUGCUGUGCUAUUUCUAUCGCUAUUGCCUCGCAUUGUGUCUCAGGCUUUACUUUAUCUUUACUGGAAUUCUAAAGUACAAUAUUAGAGAACUGUGUUUUCAUUGACAUUAUUAAUAACUUUUCAUUUCUCUAUUCACUGCAGUCCUCCAAGAAAUUAGACAAAGCAUUACCUUCGCGUCUAUUCAUCCGCUUCUCCUCAUUUUCAUGCCUCGCCUUGGAAUGUCGGAACCACUCCAUAACUCGUCGUUGUAUUUUUCUCUGGUCGGAAUCCGGGAUAUUGUGAAUUUCUGCAGUGGUUCCUUUCCGCGUCGGCCUUCCCAGUUAUAUCUCUCCGCCAAUUUAUUGGAGAAUACUUUAUACAAUGUUCUCUUUACGGCAUCAUCGACACUUGUCCCUCCGAUGGAUUUGAUAUAUCCGCGCUAUAAAAUAAAAAGUGUUAUGUUGGGAAUUUGACGCUUUCAAGAUCUCCUCAACUUCCGCUAACUGAACUACGGUUUGCAAGGGAAACCGGUUUUCAGCGCCCUCAAAGGAAAUUUGUGUUCUCUCACAUUCUGUGUCUUUAUUAAUUUUGUCCACUAUGAUGUCUACUAAGGGCUGUUAUGCGAAUAUUCAUUGUCUGACCGACCAUGGGCAUGUAUCAAGCCAUCUCGAGUUUUCUCUCUUGGAGCAAUAAUAGUACGCGGCAUAUGUUCCUCAGCAUCUGUUUCACAUGAAGCACCGAAAUCAUCUCCAUUCCUAUCUUCAUUAAUAGGCGAAGCUGUAGAGAACAAAAUUGAGGACAUGGAGCAGGUGGCAAAUUUACACCAGACUCUUCUUCGCUUUCCGACGAAGAGUAAAUUUUUCUCGCUCUAUGUUUUCGGUAAUAUUUUGCUUCCUUUUCCGUGUCCAUAUCUGACGUGUAUAAAGCUUUUUCUGCCUUCGCAUAAGCCUUCUGUAAGGACGCUGAAAAUAUUAUAAACAUUAAAUAUUAUAAAUAAGUAAAAUAUUUAUAAAAGUCAGUAAAACCCUAUACUUAAAUAUAGUACUUACAAUAUUCGCCAAAAAUUCUUAUAACUUCUAAUGCGGGCCAAUCAAACUUUGGUAUCUCCUGUUUCUCUACCGCUUUUCGGAUUUUUAUAUCCGUCUUAAAAUGCGAGGGAUAUUUGCAUUCAUCUUUAUUUUGCAACCAAAUUUUUGGUAUUACUUGAAUACCAUCCGGGAAUUCUGCGACGACAAAGCCUUGAUUCGACAUCUUCUUAUACGCAUCUACAGCCCACGGGAAGUCAGGAGGAAAAGCGCACGGCGACGAGCUUUAAGGUCGAUAAUCCUAAUAACAUUCAUGCGAAUUAGUAUAUUCAUCAUUAUAUUCGACACGGAAUUCUUUACAAUUAUAUGCGAAUUGAGGACUCUAUACGUUUUUUAUUAUACAGAAAAGUGUGUAAGUCAAAUUUAUCAUUCUCUUUUCGAGUUUACAGCGUCAGACAUUUGCGUUUCGGAGCGAUUGAUUGCAUGUAUAGUAAUAUUUAAUCAAAUUUAAC